CAAGACCUUGCGCUUUUGGAGCGGCCGAUGUCUGAUUAGCUAGUUGGUGAGGUAAAGGCUUACCAAGGCGUCGAUCAGUAGCUGGUCUGAGAGGACGACCAGCCACACUGGGACUGAGACACGGCCCAGACUCCUACGGGAGGCAGCAGUGGGGAAUUUUGGACAAUGGGGGAAACCCUGAUCCAGCCAUGCCGCGUGAGUGAAGAAGGCCUUCGGGUUGUAAAGCUCUUUCAGCCGGAACGAAACGGUCACAGCUAAUACCUGUGACUACUGACGGUACCGGAAGAAGAAGCACCGGCUAACUACGUGCCAGCAGCCGCGGUAAUACGUAGGGUGCGAGCGUUAAUCGGAAUUACUGGGCGUAAAGCGUGCGCAGGCGGUUUUGUAAGUCAGAUGUGAAAUCCCCGGGCUUAACCUGGGAACU
rnacentral:rRNA from 2 species